CUGCAUAGGGAUCUCAUCCGAGGGGAGGGGGCUGAGUUCUCGCAGGGCUGGCACAGCUGUGCUGCUCAUGGCUGCAGAAUCCAGGGCCAGAGGCAGCGUCUCUGCACACAGCCCACUGCUGGCAUCUUGGACUGUGUCAUGCCCAGUGCUUUUGCACAUGGCCUGCUGAGCUGAGGCAUUGCAGCCAUUUCCUACCUGGAGCUCUGGUCUGAAGAGCCCAGUACAAGGCCUCUACAUUCAACCCUCUUUGAGCAAGUGAAACUAGACAAAGAACAAAGGAAACCCAGCACUAUAAAGAAGUUGUUCCAGUUUUCUGGCUUCAUACUCAUUGUUGUUCCCUGAAGACACAGAAGAAGAUGGGACUGGACAGGCCACUCCUGCAGACGUUGAUCAUGGGAUCAGAAUCAGUCUCAGUGUCUGAGACUCAACUUUUCCCAUCAGGACCCUACCAUAAUCAAAGCUGAAUCAUUGAGAGUUGGGGGAGAAGCUUCCAGAAGUGCCCCAACACUGCAGAAUUAGUCUGAAGAUGAAAUCACCAUUGCAGCUGCUGAGAAUUGAAUGCCAGGGAUCAGUCAUCUCAGCUGCAUGGACUGCUGUCUCUGGUAGUACUGUCACUUCUGUGUCUGGAGCUGGACUUAGUGUCCCAAGGCCUGAUGCCUCUGCUGCUACGAAAUCUGGCAAAGGGAUUCCCUUGGCAGAGCCUGGUUCCUUGUGUUGCUCACUUCCUCAUUUCAAGAACAAAGUCUUAUAUGGAUGUGUAUGAUGACAGAGCUGGAUCGCAGGCCUGCAUCUCAGUUGCAAAAGAAGCUGGGAGUUUAAGUUGUGAGGACAGUGAAGAGGCAGGACUGAUAUCGUGGGAAUAUUUUCAAAUAUAGGAAAGACUGGUAAAGAUGUGGCUAAUGUUGCUUGUAGGCAGUGUCUGCAUAGGAUCCGACUUAAAAUUUAGAAUCUUACUUAGAACAAAAGGCCUAGGUGACCUUGUUGGGCCCCUGCAAAGAGUGGUGCCCAGGAAGGUAGCCUUUGAAAUGGAGUAAUCACCAAGGAUGGCCGCAUCCACUAGCCAUGGCAGAGGGGUGUACUGGGUGUGGUGUCCUCAUGAGCAGGCAAGGACUCCAGAACAAACACGUCUUCUCGGUCUUUCUGGCUAUACCCCACCCUGCAAAGAGAAAAGGCCUUCAUGGCAAAUGACAGGAAAGCAAAAUAUCAUCCCAGUUUUGUUUGUGUGGAGACAUAAUUACUGAGUUAUCCUGGUGCCUGCAUAAACUCACGGCUCAGAAAAGUGAAGAAUUCUCUCUGAUAAAGUUCUGGUAAACAGAAAGCCAUAUGUGCCUAGAGGGAUCCAGGGAUGUUUUCCAUUUAUCCUGAGCUGGACAAUAAACAGAUGAGUUGGUCCAUCCCCA